rnacentral:rRNA from 1 species
ACGAUGAAACUUAAAUGAACUCUUCGGAGUGAUUUUAAGUGGAUUAGUGGCGGACGGGUGAGUAACGCGUGAGUAACCUGCCUUAGAGAAGGGGAUAGCCUUUGGAAACGAAGAAUAAUACCCUAUAACACCAACACCUCGCAUGAAGAGUUGGUCAAAGAUUUAUCGCUCUAAGAUGGACUUGCGUCUGAUUAGUUAGUUGGUGAGGUAACGGCCCACCAAGACAGCGAUCAGUAGCCGGCUUGAGAGAGUGUACGGCCACAUUGGGACUGAGACACGGCCCAGACUCCUACGGGAGGCAGCAGUGGGGAAUUUUGCACAAUGGGGGAAACCCUGAUGCAGCGACGCCGCGUGAUUUAGAAGGCCUUCGGGUUGUAAAAAUCUUUUCUAUGGGAAGAAAAUGACAGUACCAUAGGAAUAAGGACCGGCUAAUUACGUGCCAGCAGCCGCGGUAAUACGUAAGGUCCGAGCGUUGUCCGGAAUCAUUGGGCGUAAAGGGUACGUAGGCGGGUAAGCAAGUUAGAAGUGAAAUCCUGUAGCUCAACUACAGUAAGCUUUUAAAACUGCUCAUCUUGAGAUAUGGAAGGGAAAGUGGAAUUCCUAGUGUAGCGGUGAAAUGCGCAGAUAUUAGGAGGAAUACCGGUGGCGAAGGCGACUUUCUGGCCAUAAUCUGACGCUGAGGUACGAAAGCGUGGGUAGCAAACAGGAUUAGAUACCCUGGUAGUCCACGCCGUAAACGAUGAGUGUUAGGUGUCUGGAGUAAAUCUGGGUGCCGCAGCUAACGCAUUAAACACUCCGCCUGGGGAGUACGCGCGCAAGCGUGAAACUCAAAGGAAUUGACGGGGACCCGCACAAGCAGCGGAGCAUGUGGUUUAAUUCGACGCAACGCGAAGAACCUUACCAAGUCUUGACAUAUUACGGCGGGAGCUAGAGAUAGUUCCUUACUUCUUCGGAAGACUGUAAUACAGGUGGUGCAUGGUUGUCGUCAGCUCGUGUCGUGAGAUGUUGGGUUAAGUCCCAUAACGAGCGCAACCCCUAUCGUUAGUUACCAUCAUUAAGUUGGGGACUCUAACAAUACUGCCG